rnacentral:rRNA from 1 species
GUGGGGAAUCUUGCGCAAUGGGCGAAAGCCUGACGCAGCCAUGCCGCGUGAAUGAUGAAGGUCUUAGGAUUGUAAAAUUCUUUCACCGGGGACGAUAAUGACGGUACCCGGAGAAGAAGCCCCGGCUAACUUCGUGCCAGCAGCCGCGGUAAUACGAAGGGGGCUAGCGUUGCUCGGAAUUACUGGGCGUAAAGGGCGCGUAGGCGGACAGUUUAGUCAGAGGUGAAAGCCCAGGGCUCAACCUUGGAAUUGCCUUUGAUACUGGCUGUCUUGAGGAAGGGAGGGGUGAGUGGAACUCCGAGUGUAGAGGUGAAAUUCGUAGAUAUUCGGAAGAACACCAGUGGCGAAGGCGACUCACUGGCCCGUUACUGACGCUGAGGCGCGAAAGCGUGGGGAGCAAACAGGAUUAGAUACCCGAGUAGUCC